rnacentral:rRNA from 1 species
CCUACGGGCGGCAGCAGUGGGGAAUAUUGGGCAAUGGGGGCAACUCUGACCCAGCAACGCCGCGUGAAUGAUGAAGGUCUUCGGAUUGUACAGUUCUGUGAUGGGGGAUGAACACAAUGACGGUACCCCAGUAGCAAGCCACGGCUAACUACGUGCCAGCAGCCGCGGUAAUACGUAGGGGGCAAGCGUUAUCCGGAAGGCAUGGGCGUAAAGGGGGCGUAGGUGGUUUAGUAAGUUGGCGGUGUAAUUCCGGGGCUCAACCUCGGCGCUACCGCCAAAACUAUUAGACUAGAGUGCAGGAGGGGUAAGUGGAAUUCCUAGUGUAGCGGUGGAAUGCGUAGAUAUUAGGAGGAACAUCAGGGGCGAAGGCGACUUACUGGACUGUAACUGACACUGAGGCACGAAAGCGUGGGGAGCAAACAGGAUUAGAUACCCUUGUAGUC